rnacentral:rRNA from 1 species
UACGUAGGGGGCAAGCGUUGUCCGGAUUUAUUGGGCGUAAAGAGCGUGUAGGCGGCUUGGUAGGUCCGCUGUGAAAACUCGAGGCUCAACCUCGAGAUGUCGGCGGAAACCACUUGGCUAGAGUCCGGAAGAGGAGAGUGGAAUUCCCGGUGUAGCGGUGAAAUGCGCAGAUAUAGGGAAGAACACCUAUGGCGAGGGCAGCUCUCUGGGACGGUACUGACGCUGAGACGCGAAAGCGUGGGGAGCGAACAGG